UCCCAUCCUGUGUCACUGCUGAUUUUGUCUAAUCUUCUACCAAUUGUUGAGAGGGAGUCUCUAGUCAUAACUGUGAGAUUUUGUACUUCUCUGAUCAGUGCUGUAAGAUUUGCCUCACGUAUUUUGCAGCUGUUUUAUUUGGUGCAUCCCAAUCAGGAUUGCUAUGUCUUGGUGGAUUGACCUUUUAUCCAUAUGCAAUGUGCCUCUCUGUCUCCAGUAACUUUUCUUUGCUUUGAAAACUCCUCUUCUGGUUCUCAUGUGACUUGCUCCCCAGAGGUCCGUUUGCUGGAGGCUUGGUCCUCAGCGUGGUAGUGCCGAGGUAGCAGAGCCUUUAACAGGCCCUCACCAGCUGCCAAGUGGAUGGGGCUGCCCAAUCUUGGACUUUCAGCUUCAAACACUAUGACAAAGCUAAAGUUGAGACUCAUGAGUCAGCCCUGAUGGUGACGAAGCCGGAAUUCCAACCCAGGACCCCAUGACUCGAAAGCCUCAUGCGCUGAACUGUGCCUUUCAGUUGGUUUUUCCAGAGCCUUUGCUGAUUGUCCUGGGUUCUCCGUGGCUCCGGCUCCUUUGACUUGAACACAGAACUUGCUGUUUGGGGCGAGAGGAAGAGAAUCGUUUUCUGCGAUUGAAAAUGCCGAGACUACGGAAAGACAAAUGGCUCAUCCAGAGGCAUAAAGAAUAAAAAUGACAAAAGAAACAUGAA